UGUACACACCGCCCGUCACACCACGAGAGUUUGUAACACCCGAAGUCGGUGAGGUAACCUUUUAGGAGCCAGCCGCCUAAGGUGGGAUAGAUGAUUGGGGUGAAGUCGUAACAAGGUAGCCGUAUCGGAAGGUGCGGCUGGAUCACCUCCUU
rnacentral:rRNA from 1 species